GACUGGAUAGCUCAGUGGUUAGGGCAUGUGAUGGUAUUUUACCAGAAGGUUCUGGGUUCAAUUCCCAAUCUGGACA
rfam:Gymnopus luxurians FD-317 M1 unplaced genomic scaffold GYMLTscaffold_56, whole genome shotgun sequence.